rnacentral:ncRNA from 1 species
UCGUCACAACGGCUUCCUGGCGUGACGAUUAAUACCCAGUGGAGCA